AGGGGCCUAUUUUGAUCAUCCCUUAUUUUGAUGAACAAGUUCUCAUGAAAAAGGAUUGGUAUAAGAAGUGAGGACCUAGAAGAUUCAUUGGAGUUGUUGAUAAAGGGUUGUAGCAUGUCCCUUUCAUUUCCAAGGCUUGUGAUUCCAGCAGCAAUCUAUGGUAUUUCGGUUCUGUCCCAUCAGUAUUUUACCAAUGAUUUCUUUGAUUUUCAGAUUGAGCAUUAAGAUCCAGUUGCAUCUUAUGCAUUCCAUGAAUGAUAACUGCCGAUGAUUUAGAUCGAGUCUCCAUUUGGAACUGGGAACACCGCCAAUGUUGCUCUGCUCUUUGCUCGCCCAGUCUUCAUCAAGAAUUUGCUUCAAUAUAUGUUCAAUUCAGUCGCAGAUGUUAGGUGCUCUAUUUGACAUCAAUUUGUUUUUUUCUCUUCUAUCA